GCCCGGAUGGCGAAAUUGGUAGACGCACCACUUUGAGGGGGUGGCGCCCAUAAGGGUGUGCAAGUUCGAGUCUUGUUCCGGGCA
rnacentral:tRNA from 1 species